AUGAGGAAGCUGUUUGUAAUUCAAAGGCUUCACUGUGACCCAAAAGGCAACAUGAUCCAAGUUCAACUCUGCUUUCUUUCCACUCUGCUCUGGAUCACUGAUCCUGUCCUCAGCAGCAAUGUCCAGCAGAGUCCUUCUGAUCUGAUUAAAUCCAAAGGAGAUUCAGUGGAGCUUGUGUGUCUGCACAGCCUAAAUAAUUACAACAUCAUAUUAUGGUAUAGAAACAUUGCAAACCACACUCUGGAGUUAAUGGGGUAUCUCUGGAAUAAAAAAGACUAUGUAGAGACUAAUUUUACAGAGAAAAUUGAAAUGAACGGAGAUGCGAAUAAGAAUUGCACUCUUGUUAUUAAGGAGCUUUCAUCAGAUGACAGUACAGUGUAUUUCUGUGCUGCCAGUGUUCACAGUGAUACAAAACAUCUCAGCUUUGCACAAAAACUUUCUCUGGCAGUUUAUUCAACAGUUCUAUCACACCUGCAUAAGAGUUUUGAAAAGGUGCCAGCAUGA